rnacentral:pre_miRNA from 1 species
AGUGGGACAGCUGGGUCAGGUGGUGGUUGCCUUCCUAGUUUUCUGAGGACUCUCCAUACUGCUUUCCAGAGUGGUUGCACCAGUUUGCAGUCCCACCAGCAGU